UACGUAGGGAGCAAGCGUUGUCCGGAAUCACUGGGCGUAAAGGGCGCGUAGGUGGCGACCCAAGUCGAUGGUGAAAGCUCGCCGCUCAACGGCGAGUCGGCCACCGAUACUGGGUUGCUGGAGCACUGUAGAGGCUCAUGGAAUUCCGGGUGUAGCGGUGGAAUGCGUAGAGAUCCGGAAGAACACCGGUGGCGAAGGCGGUGAGCUGGGCAGUUGCUGACACUGAGGCGCGACAGCGUGGGGAGCAAACAGG
rnacentral:rRNA from 1 species